UGGGGAAUUUUGGACAAUGGGCGAAAGCCUGAUCCAGCAAUGCCGCGUGUGUGAAGAAGGCCUUCGGGUUGUAAAGCACUUUUGUCCGGAAAUAAAUGGCUCUGGUUAAUACCUGGGGUCGAUGACGGUACCGGAAGAAUAAGGACCGGCUAACUACGUGCCAGCAGCCGCGGUAAUACGUAGGGUCCAAGCGUUAAUCGGAAUUACUGGGCGUAAAGCGUGCGCAGGCGGUUGUGCAAGACCGAUGUGAAAUCCCCGAGCUUAACUUGGGAAUUGCAUUGGUGACUGCACGGCUAGAGUGUGUCAGAGGGGGGUAGAAUUCCACGUGUAGCAGUGAAAUGCGUAGAGAUGUGGAGGAAUACCGAUGGCGAAGGCAGCCCCCUGGGAUAACACUGACGCUCAUGCACGAAAGCGUGGGGAGCAAACAGG
rnacentral:rRNA from 1 species